rnacentral:rRNA from 1 species
AUUGAACGCUGGCGGUAUGCUUAACACAUGCAAGUCGAACGCUCACCUUCGGGUGGGAGUGGCAGACGGGUGAGUAACACGUGGGAACGUACCCUUCGGUUCGGGACAACUCUGGGAAACUGGAGCUAAUACCGGAUACGCCCUUUUGGGGAAAGGUUUACUGCCGAAGGAUCGGCCCGCGUCUGAUUAGCUAGUUGGUGGGGUAACGGCCUACCAAGGCGACGAUCAGUAGCUGGUCUGAGAGGAUGAUCAGCCACACUGGGACUGAGACACGGCCCAGACUCCUACGGGAGGCAGCAGUGGGGAAUAUUGGACAAUGGGCGCAAGCCUGAUCCAGCCAUGCCGCGUGAGUGAUGAAGGCCUUAGGGUUGUAAAGCUCUUUUAUCCGGGACGAUAAUGACGGUACCGGAGGAAUAAGCCCCGGCUAACUUCGUGCCAGCCGCCGCAGUAAUAC